AGAAGAAGCGCAUUGCGCGGUUCGCCGGGCUGUCUGCAACUUUGGGAGCUGCGCCGCGUGGGUGCGGCCAGCCGACCGGCGCGUGCGCAGUGAGUUCUCAGCGCCUCCCGCCGCGCAGGCUCGGCGUUGGCCUCCGCGGCCCGUGCGAGUGCGCCCUUCUCGGGUCCCCUAGGUCGCGGGGCAGCCGGGGCGGAAGGGGCUUGUUCAUUAUUUUGAGAGUUUGUUGUGAACGUCAUAACCUUUCGUCCUUAAAUAUUGCCGAUACUUGACCUACGCAAGAGACAAUGUCAUGUGAUUCAGCCUAAUAUCUCAGAGGAUGCAGCAUUCAAGGUUCUAUCUUGGAAGCAGAGACUGUGCCCUCACCAGAUGCUGAACCUGCUGAGCACCCUGAUCUUCCACUUCACCUUCAUCAGAACUGUUUUCGUAUCAGGAUGAUGCUGGCCUCAUACAAUGAGUUAGGGACGCGCAUGAAAUUUGGUGCCGUGACUCGGAUCGGCGGACCUCCCUUAGGAGAUCAAUCCCCUGUCCUCCUGCUCUUUGCUCCAUGAGAAAGAUCCACCUACGACCUAAGGUCCUCAGACCAACCAGCCCAAGAAACAUCUCACCAAUUUCAAAUCCGAAAUCCUUCAUCUAAUCUGGCAAACACAUGUGGCAGGUUUUUCUCACCGCAUAAAAUAUGUUAUAGAGUAGUCCAUCUAUUUCUCUUCCAUGGAAGAGUUCAUCUGGUAGAUUGGACUACCACUUUUCCUUGUGGAGACCUAUUCUGUUGGGUUAGAGAUGACAGAAAAUCUUAUUUGUCGGUUGGUUUGUUUGUUCAAGAAUACACUGACCUUCUACAAGAAAGGAGAGCUCUUUGACACCUGGAAAUUUUACAGAAGCUUGGGACAGCUCUGAAUGGCAACACGGUCCUGAGAUAUGUGAUUACCUGGGACUUUCAUUGGACCUGCAUUUCAGCUCUACUCUCCUCACUGCCCUAUGCUGCUUUGACCCUAAAAGUGAAGCCAGCUUGGCCAGGUGCAGUGACUCACACCUGUAAUCCCAGCACUUUGGGAGGCCGAGGUGGGCAAAUCAAGAAGUCAGGAAAUCGAGACCACCCUGGCCAACAUUGUGAAACACCAUCUCUACUAAAACACAAAAAAAUUAGCCAGGUGUGGUGGCACGCACCUGUAGUCCCAGCUACUCGGGAGGCUGAGGCAGGGGAAUCACUUGAACCCGUGAGGAGGAAAUUGCAGCGAGCCAAGAUCGCGCCACUGCACCCCAGCCUGGGCGACAGAGAGAGACUCCAUCUCAAAAACAAAACAAAACAAAACAAAAAAAACAAAAAGUGAAGCCAACUCAAUUGUCUCAUAGAACUGAUCUUUACGGUGUUUUUAAAUAAACAUAGAAAUUGGCCCUCCCAGUCUUAAAACUUCAAAAACUUACAUUUGUCUUACCUCAGUUCCUUUCUCAGGAAUCCAAUCAUCAAGGCUCCCAGAUAGUAUCAAUGAACGGAAACUUACCAGAUCACGAUAUCUGGACAAUGAGAUGUCAGAUCCCCCUCAUCCAUCCUGAUUACCUAACUGACUACCUGCUUCCUGUUGGCCAACUACUCUUCCUUACCCCUCCCUAAUUCUUGUUUUCCCACAAAUGGUUACAUUUCUGUCCUGCUAUAGAAGCCCUUAAUUUUAAUUGGUCGAGGAGAUGGAUUUGAGACUGAUUUUUUGCUCUCCUUGGCUGUUGCACCUGAAUAGCCUUUUUCCCUGGCAAUACUUUUUGUCUCAGUGAUUGGCUUUCUGUGCAGUGAGCAAUGGGACCAAACUUCUGGUGUUUUGGUAACAAAUUUUGGUUUCCUGACUGUGAAUGCAUUGCUUGUGACUCAGCUGCCAUGAGCUGGGAGAGUUUCAAAAGCCCUCUAAGCAGCUACCUGACCAUUUUGGCCAGAGGUGGAUUUUCGUCUCUCCCCAUUUGGGCCCACUUCUGCCAACCCCAACCAUGUUCCUGAUUGCCUAGGAAGAACAGCCUUUGAAAUUUGACGUCUAUGUACAGAAAGAGUAAAAGACAAGCUUCUGUGGAAAGGGCAACAAACACUAUCACCCUCAGACCAGAGGUGAACAUCCUUUGCAGCAAGGUGAAAGAGAUACAAAACACCCUCUGCCCUUGAAGGAGAGACAGGAGACGCCUCUGUUGGCUUCUCUGCUGCUUAACAGAAGUCAUGAGAUGCCUGGGUACAAACUGUUGCCUAAGGAUACAGGGUGUGUGGCUGGUGGCCUCAACAGGCCCCACGGCUCAGGCACUCAGACCCAAGCUGGUCCCUCAG
rnacentral:lncRNA from 10 species